rnacentral:rRNA from 1 species
AUUGAACGCUGGCGGCAGGCCUAACACAUGCAAGUCGAGCGGAGCGGCGGACGGGUGAGUAAUGCCUAGGCAUCAGCCUGGUAGUGGGGGAUAACGACCGGAAACGGGCGCUAAUACCGCAUACUAUAAGAUGAGGCUAGGCCGGAUUAGCUAGUUGGUGGGGUAAAGGCCUACCAAGGCGACGAUCCGUAACUGGUCUGAGAGGAUGAUCAGUCACACUGGAACUGAGACACGGUCCAGACUCCUACGGGAGGCAGCAGUGGGGAAUAUUGGACAAUUGGCGAAAGCCUGAUCCAGCCAUGCCGCGUGUGUGAAGAAGGUCUUCGGGUUGUAAAGCACUUUAAGUUGGGAGGCGUUACCAGCAGAAGAAGCACCGGCUAACUCCGUGCCAGCAGCCGCGGUAAUAC